rnacentral:rRNA from 1 species
GACGAACGCUGGCGGCGUGCUUAACACAUGCCAGUCGAACGGAAAGGCCCUGCUUGCCGGGUACUCGAGUGGCGAACGGGUGAGUAACACGUGGGUGAUCUGCCCUGCACUUCGGGAUAAGCCUGGGAAACUGGGUCUAAUACCGGAUAGGAGCCAUUUUUAGUGUGAUGGUUGGAAAGUUUUUUCGGUGUAGGAUGAGCUCGCGGCCUAUCAGCUUGUUGGUGGGGUAAUGGCCUACCAAGGCGGCGACGGGUAGCCGGCCUGAGAGGGUGGACGGCCACAUUGGGACUGAGAUAAGGCCCAGACUCCUACGGGAGGCAGCAGUGGGGAAUAUUGCACAAUGGGCGCAAGCCUGAUGCAGCGACGCCGCGUGGGGGAUGACGGCCUUCGGGUUGUAAACUCCUUUCGCUAGGGACGAAGCUUUUUGUGACGGUACCUAGAUAAGAAGCACCGGCUAACUACGUG